UCCCACAGAGCCGUCCCGGGAUA
rnacentral:piRNA from 1 species